rnacentral:lncRNA from 1 species
UCGUGAAUGCUGACAUUCCACCAAUAAUGUAUCAAUGAACUGUGCCUUUACUUGGCAUUUUAUUACUCCACGCUUCUUUGCCCUUUUUAAUCUUCAAGCCUUCAACUGUUCAUCGUGAUUGCUGACAUACCGCCAAUUAAUAAUGUAUCACUGAACUGUGCCUUUACCAGGCAUUUUAUUACUCCACGCUUCUUUGCCCUUUUUAAUCUUCAAGCCUUCAACUGUUCAUCGUGUUUGCUGACAUACCGCCAAUUAAUAAUGUAUCAAUGAACUGUGUCUUUACCUGGCAUUUUAUUACUCCAUGCUUUGUUGCCUUUUUAAUCUUCAAGCCUUCAAUUGUUCAUCGUGUUUGCUGACAUUCCACCAAUAAUGUAUCAAUGAACUGUGUCUUUACCUGGCAUUUUAUUACUCCAUGCUUUGUUGCCUUUUUAAUCUUCAAGCCUUCAAUUGUUCAUCGUGUUUGCUGACAUUCCACCAAUAAUGUAUCAAUGAACUGUGUCUUUACCUGGCAUUUUAUUACUCCAUGCUUUGUUGCCUUUUUAAUCUUUAAGCCUUCAAUUGUUCAUCGUGGUUGCUGACAUUCCACCAAUAAUGUAUCAAUGAACUGUGCCUUUAACUGGCAUUUUAUUACUCCAUGCUUCUUUUUUGUUAUCUUCAAGUCUUCAAUUCUCAACCAAUGAUCGAACUGUGCCUUUACCUGGCAUUUUAUUACUCCACUUUUUAAUCUUCAAGACUUCAAUUGUCCAUCGAGAUUGCUGACAUUCCACCAAUAAUGUAUCAAAUGAACUGUGUCUUUACCAGACAUUUUAUUACUCCAUGCUUUUUUGCCCUUUGUUAUCUUCAAGCCUUCAAUUGUUCAUCGUGGUUGCUGACAUACCGCCAAUAAUACAUCAAUGAACUGUGUCUUUACCUGGCAUUUACUAUCAAUUAUUGANNUUUAAGUUAGAAAUGAUACGAUUACUAUAAUGAUAUAUGUGGGAUUUCAGGAGCGUAGGGUACAUUUGAUGAAUGUAGAGAAGANAAAAAUUAUAGAUUAUUUUAAAUCAAUGUACUAUGUUUUUAACAUCAAAAAAUUUCAGGCUCUCGCUACGUUCUUAGGAAUUUCACAGUAUAGGUGAUUAUGGUUGAUAUCUUUAGACAAGAAGUUAAAAUCGGUUAAUUCCAACGUAGUUUAAAGACAUAUGUAUUAGAGACUGCAGUAAUGUUUUGAAAAUUUCCUAGCGAACGCAUUAAAGGUAUUUUUACAUAUAAUCUUAAUUUUUCUAAGCUCUAAAUUUAAUGUUAUUUAAAUGGUUAGUAUCUGUCAUUAGUUAACCUUCUGGUUAUUAUAGGUAACCUGCAGUUUUCUGGUUUUAAUCACUUUAAGAUUACUUCUGCACUAGUGUAAUAAUAUCCAGAUUAUUAAACAUACAGUGCGAUGGGCCUCGCACGUAUUUUAACUAUCACUUUUCCAAAUUCGGAUUCCAAACGCUUAAUUAAAACCAAACCAAACCAAACCAAAACGAAUAUGAAAGAUAGGAUACCCAUUUCAAUUAAUCUAGGUGACAAAACAAAAAUAGCGGUUGCCAUGGGUGGAAAACAAUUUUAGAAUAGAAUCCUGGCUGGGAAAUGAUUCUUAAAUUCCUGGCUGGGAAAAUAGAAUAUUAGUAUAAAUGCUGGCUUGGAAACCGUUUUUAACGUAUACUUAUUCCUGGCUGGUAAUUUCGAUAUUUUUUUUUGCUGGCAGGCAUUGGAGCUGAUAUUUUUUUUCACAGUAUGGUUAAUAAUUAACUCUAUUAGGUGUUAAAACACUUGCCAAGUCAGUUUCUAGACGUCGUCCUGUGCAAAUUCGCGAAACUGGUCCGUUAGUGACCAGCUAAUCCCAAUAACGUUGUUCAGUUGUAAAGACAUGACACAACAACAAAGUCAUUUGCAUAUAUCGUGUUUUUUGAUUUCUUUGCGAGAACAUUGAAGAUAAAGCUCUAAAAGCUCUUUUUUUAAUGCAAAUGAAUGUAUUGUCUUCAUGUAUUUACAAGUAAACAACGUUAAUGGAAUUCCCUGUACGUCAAUAACGUAUAUUUUUUAAUUGCUUUAAAUAUUUUUCAAAUUGAUAAUCUAUUUCUAUAAUUUUAUACAAAUAUUAGUGAAAGACAUGUAAAAGCAAGAAAUAAAAAUCAAACUGUACAGUAAAAGUCUGACAUUUUGCAUAAAGGCCUGGCUGGAAGAAAAUCAGAAACAGUAGGAAAAAAACAAUGAUUACUCCUUUUGGUUUUGAAAUUCGUUGAAUUUAAAUUACUGUUCGUCACUUUCUGUCCCUAAAUCUAUUGUUUUGUUGUUGUUUUCAUUUGUUUGUGUGUUUUUAGUGCUUAUGCUUACAUCGUAGCGUGAACCGCACCACCUUGUCACAUACGACCGCAAUAUUGAAUUCCGACUGAAUAUCAAUAAAUCAUUGAUGUCCACGAAGGAAAAGUACUUUUUACACUGUCUUUUGUCCAAACUUGUCAUAUAGGAGGCUUCUUAAUAAAUAAGUCGUGCUUCCAAAAAUAUAAAAAAUAUUUUUCAUAGCAUACCAUAGUUCCUUACUACAACGAUACUGAAAAUCAUAGAAUUCAAGAUGGCGGCCGUCAUUGUAAUAAAUCAAUCAGUACUUUUCAGUUGUUGCUCUAUUUUUUUGGUCUUUUUCCCAUUACUUUAUUUAUCUUUCAUUUUUUUUAUUAGGGCUUUUAGGGAUAUGUCAGCAAAAAAUAUGUGACCCACACUCUAAGUGACAACGCUUUUCACAAACCGGUUUUUAAAACAGGUUUUAGGGGCUUUUAUGAUAAAGAUCAUGUGACUUCCAUGACUGUGCACAUCAACGAUUGAAACCAACACACCCCAUCAAGGACUUCUGUGAUUCUGUACUUAUAAUAAAAUCAAAUUGCGCUGAACUAUCUUUUAAAGUUUAUUUGGGAAACACCGUGAGUCAUUUGACUAGUCGUCAGUCCAUUGUCUUCGUGUUAGCGCAUCGGUCUUCAAAAACAACUCCCAUCUGAAGUUCAUCUAUAAGUCUUCGUGAAAUAUUCUUUGAUCAGACAUCAAUAUAAAAGGAUUUAUAGAAGUGCUGCUGACAAAGACAGUUCCCUCGUAUUAGAAACAAACUUUCAAAUCAAACAUUGGAACAGGCAAAUCUUUCAAAAAUUACAUAAAACGACGCCACUAAGCAGCAAUGGAGGACCUCAUUGUUUGAACUCUGCGUGUUACCAGCAAAUGUAAGGCCAUAUUGAUAAACAACUUUGACUCAAGUACAAUUUCAAUACAUUGGAAUAACAAAUGUUUUGAAAACACCAUAAAAGAGAACUUGAUCUACGAUGAGCAUGCGAAGAAUGGCCACAAGUGCACCACUUCCACCCCCACCCUCACCCCCAGGAACGACAGCAUCGACAUCAAAGCAAAGAAGCAAUUACACUCGUAUUGGCAGACUUUUAACCGACAUUGGAACAAGAGUGUUGAGGGGAGUUCUUGAUUCGCACCACCCACCUGCUAGUCUACAGAAACAUAUCAACUCGCCCGCUGUNAACUCUACACUGAAAAAACUCAGAGCUAAGAGAGUUCUGAACACACAACAAUGGAGCAAGCUAUACCC